CCGAGACCGACUUGAGCUUGUAGUAGUAGUAGCUACUCCUUUGCCCUUGUUAUGUGACCUUGAACUUGAAGAACCGCCCCUAAGACCAUAGAUAUUCUCCUCAACUCCAGACGCCCUAGAAACAGGAGCCCUGCAUCAUAUACCCAUACUGCAAAAGCACUUACAGCGCGAUCUCUUAGCAACUUCUUGGAUGCAUCAGACGCUGCCGUGCUACUGCUUCCCUUCCCCUUUGAUGUUUGCGGGUAAUAAAGAUUCAUGGGACCUUUCACAUUGGCAGUCCGUGCCGUGGAUGAUGCAUUGGAUGACAUUUUUUGAGUUUUUGAGGGAGGAGGCAUCAUUUCAUCAUCUUCAUCAGAGAGAUUAUUAACCAAGGAUGCUUGGUGCAACAUUUGAGUUUUUAACAACUGUUUACUUUCAACAUACUUUUUUACUUCUUCCCUAAUUUCAGGCGGACAAAUUGUACAUUUUUUUACAUUUUUGUAACCACCAAUCAAAUGUUGUUUGUGUCGAGUAAUUCCGCCAUUGAAAGUGCCUCGACAAAAGAUACAUGUAACUGAAUCUUUUGCUGGGCCUUUGGUACCAUAAUUCCAACCUAUGUCUUUUUUGCUAGUGUCCGACGAUUCCAUUGAAUUUGAACCUACUGUUUAUAACUGUAUAACAAAAGUUAAACAAUUAUUGAACAGAAAAAAUAGGAGCAAAACAACCACUGCCUCACUGGUGCAGUUGAGGAAAAAAAAACAGAGGAAAAAACAGAGGAGAAAAAAACA